rnacentral:rRNA from 1 species
UGGGGAAUAUUGCACAAUGGGCGCAAGCCUGAUGCAGCAACGCCGCGUGAACGAUGAAGGUCUUCGGAUCGUAAAGUUCUGUUGCAGGGGAAGAAAAUGACAGUACCAUACGAAUAAGGACCGGCUAAUUACGUGCCAGCAGCCGCGGUAAUACGUAAGGUCCGAGCGUUGUCCGGAAUCAUUGGGCGUAAAGGGUACGUAGGCGGAUAAGCAAGUUAGAAGUGAAAUCCUAUAGCUCAACUAUAGUAAGCUUUUAAAACUGCUCAUCUUGAGGUAUGGAAGGGAAAGUGGAAUUCCUAGUGUAGCGGUGAAAUGCGCAGAUAUUAGGAGGAAUACCGGUGGCGAAGGCGACUUUCUGGCCAUAUACUGACGCUGAGGUACGAAAGCGUGGGUAGCAAACAGG